rnacentral:rRNA from 1 species
UGGGGAAUAUUGGACAAUGGGCGCAAGCCUGAUCCAGCCAUGCCGCGUGAGUGAUGACGGCCUUAGGGUUGUAAAGCUCUUUCGGUCGGAAAGAGGGUUCGGGCGAAUACCCUGGAUCUUUGACGGUACCGGCAGAAUAAGCACCGGCUAACUAC